AAGCCAUGAUGUGGGCAGUCUCGCUGGUAUGAUUUGAAUCUCACCCAAGCAGCUUUGAAUGCCUCAGUAGGUCCUUGAGAGAAUGUCGAGAUUUUGAGUCUCAGCUC
rfam:Eutrema salsugineum unplaced genomic scaffold scaffold_3, whole genome shotgun sequence.